UAAUACUAGCGGUCCAAGUCGCAGCCAUUUUUAUUGGGUCUAAAACAUCCGUAGCCGGCUAUGUUAGUUUUCGGUUAAAUCCAUGUGCUCAACACAUGGGCUGUCGAGAAUACUGCAUAGCUAGGGAGUGGGAGAGGUAGACGGUACUCGGUAGGAAGGGGUAAAAUCCUUUGAUCUAUUGAUGACCACCAGUGGCGAAGGCGGUCUACCAGAACACGUCCGACGGUGAGGGAUGAAAGCUGGGGGAGCAAACCGGAUUAGAUACCCGGGUAGUCCCAGCUGUAAACCAUGCAAACUCAGUGAUGCAUUGGCUUGUGGCCAGUGCAGUGCCGCAGAGAAGUCGUUAAGUUUGCCGCCUGGGAAGUACGUACGCAAGUAUG
rnacentral:rRNA from 1 species